AAUAAGUACAGUCGUGGAUAUCCGUGUCCAAUGUUUGACCGUCCGUCUUAUUUAAAAAAUUUAUGAAAAAUUUAAAAAUAUUUAGUCGCACAUAAAGUAUUAUUCAUGUUUUAUCAUCUAAUAGUAAUAAAAAUACUAAUCAUAAAAUUUUUUCAAAUAAAACAAACGGUCAAACGUUAAACGUGAAUAGUGUAAAACAACACUUAUC
rnacentral:pre_miRNA from 1 species